rnacentral:tRNA from 1 species
GCACUAGUGGUCUAGUGGUAGAAUAGUAUUAUGCCACGGUACAGUCCUAGGUUCGAUUACUUGCUUGUGCA